UACGUAGGGUGCGAGCGUUGUCCGGAAUUAUUGGGCGUAAAGAGCUCGUAGGCGGUCUGUCGCGUCGGUCGUGAAAACUCGGGGCUUAACUCCGGGCCUGCAGUGGGUACGGGCAGACUAGAGUUCGGUAGGGGAGACUGGAAUUCCUGGUGUAGCGGUGAAAUGCGCAGAUAUCAGGAGGAACACCGGUGGCGAAGGCGGGUCUCUGGGCCGAAACUGACGCUGAGGAGCGAAAGCGUGGGGAGCGAACAGG
rnacentral:rRNA from 1 species